UACGAAGGGGGCUAGCGUUGUUCGGAAUUACUGGGCGUAAAGCGCGCGCAGGCGGUCUUCCAAGUCAGUGGUGAAAGCCCGGAGCUCAACUCCGGAACUGCCAUUGAAACUGUUAGACUUGAGGAUGAGAGAGGUGAGUGGAAUUCCCAGUGUAGAGGUGAAAUUCGUAGAUAUUGGGAAGACACCGGUGGCGAAGGCGGCGCUCUGGACCGAGACUGACGCUGAGGCGCGAAAGCGUGGGGAGCAAACAGG
rnacentral:rRNA from 1 species